ACACACACACACACAUAUAAAUAUAUAUAUAAAUCUUACUUUGCCAUCACUUGAAGUGUUAGGGAAUUGUAAUUAAUGGCAUAGGCAAUGUGCCUGCUACUGAAUUGUUGGGGUCUUUACUCUUUGUCCUCUUAGCUAAAUGAAUGUCUGACUAGAAAACAUCGAAGCACAUCCACACACACACACACACACACACUUGCUGUUCCUCUUGUUUCCACCCACUACCAGAGCCUGAACUAUAGAGAUAUACUUAAGAUAACAUAAUAGAUAUUGCUCUACUUGUGUGUUAUCUGAACUUUUAUUUAUAUUAAAAUAUAUCUUUUAGUAUUUUCCAUUUAUAGUGGUGGCUGUCAUUGUAGUGCUCCUAUUUAAAAAAACUGUGGGUAAUUCUGAAUAAUUUAUUCAUUUGGUUACUUCUGUGGGAUUCUGGAUUGGAUGACUUUAGUAGAAUGGUAAUAUUCUGGAAUUAAUUUCAUCAACUACCAAAUCCUCACCUUCUCUAGAAAAUUCAUCUUUUGCCAAUUUGUCUCCCAAAACCCUCUUUUUUUUUAUUUUCAUUAUACUACUAAUGUAUUUUGCAUGUGGGGGAAACAGUAUUCGCUAGACUACAUGGCUAACUAUGUCACAGUAUUUAGAUUUUCUCUACUACCUUCUGAUUUCAAAUCUCAAAGGAUUUGAUUCUAUCUGCCAUCCCUUUAGGGAUCAAGAAAAGAAGUACUAAACAUGUAUUGGUUUAGUACUUCUUCAAUCAACUAUGUUUUAGUUGUGUACCAAUGUGAGAAAUUAUCAUCAUCAUUAUUAUUAUUAUUAUUAUUGAGCUGGCAAAAUUGUUAGCACACAGGUGAAAUACAUAAUGGUAUUUUGUCUGUCUUUAUGUUCUGAGUUCAAAUUCUGCCAAAGUCGACUUUACCUUUCAUUCUUUCAAGGUUGAUAAAAUAAGUACCAGUUGAACACCGAGGUUGAUGUAAUCUCUUUAUCUCCCCCCACAAAAUUGUUGGCCUUGUGCCAAAAUUUAAAAUCACCAUUAUUAUUAUUAUUAUUAUAGAAGGGAUGAAGAUUUUCUUUGAAAGUUGUUUCUAUUGUUUGUCUUACACUCAACAACCAGAAAGAUAAUUGUCUGUGAUAUUGAAUUAGCAAUUUUGAUUAUGCCCCACCCUUUCAUAUUUACUAAAUUUCUUUGCUAUGUUUUGGUAUGAUGUCUUUCUGUAAAGGUAAAGACAAAAAGGAAGGGAUAGGGUGCAUCAGAAUCAAGUAAUUAUAUUGUAAAUAUAUCUUUGGAAAUAAUUAUUAUUUUAUGAAUUCAGUGAUUAAUUGAUUUGAAAAUUUAUUUCCAUUUCUUUCCCUUCUUUUUUUAAAUACUUAUUAUUAUUUUUUUUUUGUCUUUCUGAAAUGUCUUCUUCCUCCUCUUUCUGUCUCAUAUCAUCAUCAUCUUCCAUAGACUUCACCAUUUCUCUCUGCAUUACUUCAUUUAUUUGUGGAGAAUUAUUCCCUCCCACCAGUUAAACCUUUCUACUCAACCUGGAAUUUACAUAUGUGUGUGUGUGUGUAUGUGUAGAUAUAUAUUGAUAGCUGAUUAGUAAAUAUUCAAAAGACAUAGAUAAAGGUUACACACAUGCAAGGAAGAGUGGUCACUGAUAGGUUGACUUGAUCGAGUAGUUCUGUGAAGGAAAAUUCAGAAGUUUGAAAAGUUUUACAGUUAUUAAAGAUAAAUUAUUAUGAUAAGAAUGAUGGAUUGACACUAUUGUUAGUGUCAGACCAAAUGCUCUGUGAUUAUUUCUUCCAGCUCUUUUUACAUUCUGAGUUGAAAUUCUAUCAAGGUCAGCUCUGCCUUUCAUCCUUCCAGAGUUAAUAAAAGAAAGUACUAGUAAAGUACUGAAGUAUCAACUAUACCUCCUCCCUUCAAAGCCGCUGGCCUUGCAUCUAAAUUAAAGCAUUAUUAUUAAAUUGAUGGAGAGGUAGUAUUUGGUUGACCUCCUGACAAAAUAUAUAUUAGGGUUGGAUAAAAUGAAGCCCUAGUAGUCUAUAGGGUUUUUGAAUCAAUCAUGUGUACUCUUCCUUAGAACUGUGUGAUCCUGUGACAUUGUGAAAAAUCAUUAUUAAGAUGAAUAGAAUGACUUAAGUGGUGGAGCACAGGAUGAACGUGUUUUGUGGUAUUUAGGUAAGUUUAUGUUCUUAACCAAUAAAAUAUGCACUUGUGAUCUACUAGUGAUCUGAUAUAAGAAACCAUUAUUAUGAAGGUGAGACAGAAAAUAAUGCAACUUUUAUUUGCAUUAUUUUCUGGUUCAUCCUUGUGCUAUUUACUCUUUCAUUCAAGUACUAAUAUUGAUUUAAUCAACAAACCUCUCCCCCAAAUUUUUGGCCUAUGUUAGAAACAUUAUUGUCAUUAUUAUUAUUUCAUUUUAAAGACUUUAUGGGAAACAUACAGUGAAAGGUUUGAUAUUUUAAUCAAUGAAGUACAGCUGUUAUUUGCAUUCUCCCCCAAGCACCUGGUUUAUAUAUGCAGUGCUUUCUGUUGGGUUCAAAACUAAGACAGCCGUCUGACAUAAACAAGGUAUAUAUUUGGCCUUUGAACUCUUGAAUACUGCAUCUGUAAAUGGUGAGUGGCGGCAGUGUAGGUUGUGGUGUAUAAAAAUCAAGCUAAAGAUAAAAAAUUAUCAGUUAUUAAGAAUUAUCAAAUGCAAUUUAACUGUUCUGCUUAAUAUUACAGCAAACACUUGAUAAAGAGAAAAAAAAUGGUUGUCACACACAUGUAUAGAUUUAUAUACAUUCACACUCAUACAACUAUACAUUCCUCAUUUCUGGUUGUCAUCUACAUUGUUAUUGUUAUUAUUACAGUUUUAUAUAAACAACCUGGUGAAUUAUCUCAUUUGGAUUUGUGUCCAUUAAUAUAUCAGAAGAGCCAACAAGCAUAUUGUUUGUGGAAAAAGAAAAAAAAACUGAUUUAAAAAAAAAAAUCAGUGGCUGUUUUUUGCUGUUGUUUGUUGUAGUCAGCUCUGAUAGAAUAGUCUCUAUCACUGGAGUAACUAAUUAAACAUUUAAUGACUUUCAAGAACAGAUCUCUGUCUUAUAGGUUCUUGGUUUUUAAACAUACAGUCCACUGUGAUGGUAUCUGAUUGCUAAGCUUGUCUGGUUGCCAGAUAACAUUGAACAUAUUUAAUGGAAAUCUUUUAGCUUGAAUGGCUGUUUUAGCUCUGUCUUCCAUGUUUCCUUUAUGGUUACUGAAAACAAAUUUUUGGUUUGAUCAAACAAAAAUGUCUUUUUCAAAUUUAAAUCCUGACAUGAAUGAGCUGGUUCUAGAAAUUCACUCUGCAUGAAUUGUUGAAGCAAGCACUGUUUUUUUUUUUAAGCAGCUGGAUAUCCUUCUUUAAUCAUUCAACUAUAUAGAGGGAGAGAUAUCCAAUAUUUAGCUAGAUAACCUAACAUAAUAUACUGUGCUUUUGCCAAGGGUCUACUUCACACAGGCAUCUCCUUCCCUCUACUUUCACACAAUAUGUGCGCAGCAGAGUCAAAUGUCUUUUAGUUGUGCUUAAUGUGAUUUCUAGUAUCUUGACACAGUUGGUAUAAUGAAAAGAAAGUGUAGAUACAAAAUGGCUUGUGAAAUCUAUCACAAAGUGUGAGUGACAUUUAGUUUUGCUAAUUAUCAUAUGAACUCCAUAUCUAAGAACACCCAAGUAUAUUAGUGCUUUAGUUUCUGUCCAAUGGGACAGCAGAACAAAGUCUACUUUCUUUUUUUAUCUUGUUAUUAUGUACAUAAUGGUUGUUUAGUUUAUGUGGCUGUUGUGCCACCAAUCUAGCUGCUGUUAUCAAUAUGUACCAAGUAUACAGUGUGGUCUAAUUGUUGGUUGUAAACUGUCCCAUGUACUGUUGAUGGUAUAGUUAAAUAUUUGGUGUUGAAACUUCUCUGCUAUAUAUUCAGUCUAACUUUUAUGGUAGUGUUAAGAGAAGUCUAAUUUAACUCUCUAAAGUAGCUUAGAUCUGCUCACACACAGUACCUAGUGGUACCCAUUGGUGGUAUGUAAGUGAAAUAGUAUUUUAGAAAGCCAUAAAAUCCCAGUUUGGUCAAUGAAUGAUGUUAUUUAAAACCAUUUUACCUGGUUUCAAAGUUUAUAUUUGGAGUCAGUCAUAUAGAAAAGAGAAGAGAAUGUACAUGCAUUCAUUAUUCAAUUCCGAAUUGUAAUGUUUGAUUUUGUAGUUAUAAGUGAUAUGGUCAUCCUUAUCACUUUAUUUAUUGGUGAUAACUCAAAGGUCAAUCUCAAAAUAAUUUUGUCUUGUAUGGCUUAUUUGCUACCAUAUUAGUUUUUCUCAGUGAAGUAGAUGAAGCAACUUCAAUUUGAAGGGAGUUAAAAUUAAUCUCAAAUAAUAUAUUUACAAAAAGUAUAACCAAACUGAUAAUAGACAGUAGUAUAUUCAUAACAAUUGUUUUAGAGUAACUGAGGGGGUGUAGCUUGGAAUUUAAGCUUUUUCUUUCGUUUUUUUUUUUUGAAAGAAAAAUUCCAGUCAUCAUUAUGUUUAGAAUUCUGUUUAGGAGAGUAAAAUGUUAGGGAAGUUGUUAAUUUGGUUGUGUGUGUUUUUGCAGGAGUUAACAUUUUUGCAUAUUUUCACAUAGUCGUUCCAAUCUUCUACCAUUACUGAUAUGUUCUGGUGAACCUAAUUAUGUUACCGUCCAGUCAGUCAGAAUAAUGAGAAAUCCUCUAUCUGUAAUCCAUAUUAGAAAUUAUUCUUGAUUUAAUAUUGAGAGACUUCUUGGAAGGAGUUUCUUCAUGUUGAUCCGUGUAUAAUUCCAUAGCACUGAACUACUCUGCAAAUGUAAGAAAUAACAGGGAAUCAUUGGUGGAUUUCAUUUCCUGGAAGGAAUGCCAUCAACGGUUCUCUACUAAUUCCUACAUUAACAGAAUAAUUUCUGACUUAGCAUUUGUGCUCUGUUUUGGUGGCAUCCAAAUGCAGUUGAUCUCUUGAGAGGUGGUAGGUUGUAUAACACUAUGAAGCCAAGUGUUUGCAAUAUGGAUUAAGUAUUUACACUUAACAUUAUCGAAUGACUUUUUUUUUUAUAUAUAUAUAUGAAACAAUUG